rnacentral:lncRNA from 1 species
CUGCAUCCAACCACUUGAGCACCUCCUUUCUCACAACUUCUUGCAUCGCCGGAUUCAAACGUCGCUGCGGCUGCACCUUAGGCUUGUAUUCCUGCUCUAAUAAAAUACGAUGCAUGCAAAUAGAAGGACUAAUUCCUUUGAUGUCAGAAAUAGACCAUCCUAUAGCAGACUUGUAUUUCCUCAACACUCGCAUCAACUUCUCCAACUCCAACGGAGAUAAAUAAGCAGACACAAUAACAGGAAACGUUUCAUUCUCACCCAAAAAUUGGUACCUCAAG